UGGGGGAUAUUGCACAAUGGGCGAAAGCCUGAUGCAGCGACGCCGCGUGGGGGAUGAAGGCCUUCGGGUUGUAAACUUCUUUUGCUCUGAACAAGGCAUGCUGUUGGGGAGGGUUGGGUGGAGGGGUUGAUUAGCGCCUGCUAACUCCGUGCCAGCAGCCGCGGAAAUACGUAGGGCGCGAGCGUUGUCCGGAAUUAUUGGGCGUAAAGGGCUUGUAGGUGGCUGGUUGCGUCUGUCGUGAAAGCUCAUGGCUUAACUGUGGGUUUGCGGUGGGUACGGGCUGGCUUGAGUGCAGUAGGGGAGGCUGGAAUUCCUGGUGUAGCGGUGGAAUGCGCAGAUAUCAGGAGGAAUACCGGUGGCGAAGGCGAGUCUCUGGGCUGUUACUGACGCUGAGAGCGAAAGCGUGGGGAGCGAACAGG
rnacentral:rRNA from 1 species